rnacentral:rRNA from 1 species
UAAAAACCCCGACUUCGGAAGGGGUGUAUUUAUUAGAUACAAAACCAAUGCCCUUCGGGGCUCUUUGGUGAUUCAUGAUAACUAUACGAAUCGCACGGCCUUGCGCCGGCGAUGGUUCAUUCAAAUUUCUUCCCUAUCAACUUUCGAUGUUUGGGUAUUGGCCAAACAUGGUUGCAACGGGUAACGGAGGGUUAGGGCUCGACCCCGGAGAAGGAGCCUGAGAAACGGCUACUACAUCCAAGGAAGGCAGCAGGCGCGCAAAUUACCCAAUCCCGACUCGGGGAGGUAGUGACAAUAAAUACUGAUACAGGGCCCUUUCGGGCCUUGUAAUUGGAAUGAGUACAAUUUAAAUCCCUUAACGAGGAACAAUUGGAGGGCAAGUCUGGUGCCAGCAGCCGCGGUAAUUCCAGCUCCAAUAGCGUAUAUUAAAGUUGUUGUGGUUAAAAAGCUCGUAGUUGAACCUUGGGCCUGGCUGGCCGGUCCGCCUCACCGCGUGCACUGGUCCGGCCGGGCCUUUCCCUCUGUGGAACCCCAUACCCUUCACUGGGCGUGGCAGGAACACAGGACAAAACUUUG